rnacentral:rRNA from 1 species
AGAGUUCGAUUAUGGCUCAGGAUGAACGCUGGCGGCGUGCUUAACACAUGCAAGUCGAACGGGAAACCUUUUAUUGAAGCUUCGGCAGAUUUAGAUUGUUUCUAGUGGCGGACGGGUGAGUAACGCGUGGGUAACCUGCCUUAUACAGGGGGAUAACAGUCAGAAAUGACUGCUAAUACCGCAUAAGCGCACAGAGCUGCAUGGCUCGGUGUGAAAAACUCCGGUGGUAUAAGAUGGACCCGCGUUGGAUUAGCUAGUUGGUGAGGUAACGGCCCACCAAGGCGACGAUCCAUAGCCGGCCUGAGAGGGUGAACGGCCACAUUGGGACUGAGACACGGCCCAG